UACGUGGGGUGCAAACGUUGCUCGGAAUUAUUGGGCGUAAAGCGCGCGUAGGCGGUUACUUAAGUUGGAUGUGAAAGCCCUCGGCUUAACUGAGGAAGUGCACCCGAAACUGAGUAGCUAGAGUACGAAAGAGGGUCGCGGAAUUCCCGGUGUAGAGGUGAAAUUCGUAGAUAUCGGGAGGAACACCAGUGGCGAAGGCGGCGACCUGGACAGAUAUUGACGCUGAGGUGCGAAAGCGUGGGGAGCAAACAGG
rnacentral:rRNA from 1 species